rnacentral:rRNA from 1 species
AAUGAACGCUGGCGGCGUGCCUAACACAUGCAAGUCGGAUGUGCCGCAAGGUGCAUGGCAGACGGGUGAGUAACGCGUAGGGAAUCUACCUUUUUGUGGGGAAUAACGCUCCGAAAGGAGUGGUAAUACCGCAUGAGACCGUGGCCUGGGAUGGUUACGGUGAAACCUGGGGACCGCAAGGCCUGGGGCAAAAAGAGGAUCCUGCGUCUGAUUAGCUAGUUGGCGGGGUAAUGGCCCACCAAGGCGACGAUCAGUAGCCGGCCUGAGAGGGUGAUCGGCCACACUGGAACUGAGACACGGUCCAGACUCCUACGGGAGGCAGCAGUGGGGAAUUUUGCGCAAUGGACGAAAGUCUGACGCAGCAACGCCGCGUGGGUGAUGAAGGUCUUCGGACUGUAAAACCCUGUCGUCAGGGACGAAGGUGGCAGUGUUAAUAGCGCUGUUACUUGACGGUACCUGGAGAGGAAGCCCCGGGCUAACUCUGUGCCAGCAGCCGCGGUAAU